GGCUCCAGGAAGUCGUAACCAGGUAACCCGUAGAGUUUGAUCAUGGCUCAGGAAGUCGUAACAAGGUAACCAGUAGAGUUUGAAUCAUGGCUCAGGACGAACGCUGGCGGCGUGCCUAAUACAUGCAAGUCGAGCGGACUUAAAAAGCUUGCUUUUUAAGUUAGCGGCGGACGGGUGAGUAACACGUGGGCAACCUGCCUGUAAGACUGGGAUAACUUCGGGAAACCGGAGCUAAUACCGGAUAAUCCUUUUCUACUCAUGUAGGAAAGCUGAAAGACGGUUUACGCUGUCACUUACAGAUGGGCCCGCGGCGCAUUAGCUAGUUGGUGAGGUAACGGCUCACCAAGGCGACGAUGCGUAGCCGACCUGAGAGGGUGAUCGGCCACACUGGGACUGAGACACGGCCCAGACUCCUACGGGAGGCAGCAGUAGGGAAUCUUCCGCAAUGGACGAAAGUCUGACGGAGCAACGCCGCGUGAGUGAUGAAGGUUUUCGGAUCGUAAAACUCUGUUGUUAGGGAAGAACAAGUACGAGAGUAACUGCUCGUACCUUGACGGUACCUAACCAGAAAGCCACGGCUAACUACGUGCCAGCAGCCGCGGUAAUACGUAGGUGGCAAGCGUUGUCCGGAAUUAUUGGGCGUAAAGCGCGCGCAGGCGGUCCUUUAAGUCUGAUGUGAAAGCCCACGGCUCAACCGUGGAGGGUCAUUGGAAACUGGGGGACUUGAGUGCAGAAGAGAAGAGUGGAAUUCCACGUGUAGCGGUGAAAUGCGUAGAGAUGUGGAGGAACACCAGUGGCGAAGGCGACUCUUUGGUCUGUAACUGACGCUGAGGCGCGAAAGCGUGGGGAGCAAACAGGAUUAGAUACCCUGGUAGUCCACGCCGUAAACGAUGAGUGCUAAGUGUUAGAGGGUUUCCGCCCUUUAGUGCUGCAGCAAACGCAUAAGCACUCCGCCUGGGG
rnacentral:rRNA from 1 species